GACAGAGGAUGCAAGCGUUAUCCGGAAUCAUUGGGCGUAAAGCGCGUGUAGGCGGUCCGGUAAGUCCGCUGUGAAAGUCGAGGGCUCAACCCUCGAAUGCCGGUGGAUACUGUCGGGCUUGAGUACGGGAGAGGCGAGUGGAAUUCCUGGUGUAGCGGUGAAAAUGCGCAGAUAUCAGGAGGAACACCGAUUGCGAAGGCAGCUCGCUGGAACGUUACUGACGCUGAGACGCGAAAGCGUGGGGAGCAAACAGG
rnacentral:rRNA from 1 species